rnacentral:rRNA from 1 species
GUGUCAGCAGCCGCGGUAAUACGUAGGGGGCAAGCGUUAUCCGGAUUUACUGGGUGUAAAGGGAGCGUAGGCGGCUUGGCAAGUCUGAUGUGAAAGCCCAGGGCUCAACCCUGGGACUGCAUUGGAAACUGUCAGGCUAGAGUGCAGGAGAGGUAAGUGGAAUUCCUAGUGUAGCGGUGAAAUGCGUAGAUAUUAGGAGGAACACCAGUGGCGAAGGCGGCUUACUGGACUGUAACUGACGCUGAGGCUCGAAAGCGUGGGGAGCAAACAGGAUUAGAUACCCUGGUAGUCCACGCUGUAAACGAUGAAUACUAGGUGUCGGGUCCGUCAAGGAUUCGGUGCCGCAGCUAACGCAAUAAGUAUUCCACCUGGGGAGUACGUUCGCAAGAAUGAA